rnacentral:rRNA from 1 species
UGAAAUCUGGCUUUCGGGCCCGAGUUGUAAUUUGUAGAGGAUGAUUUUGAUGCGGUGCCUUCCGAGUUCCCUGGAACGGGACGCCAUAGAGGGUGAGAGCCCCGUCUGGUUGGAUGCCAAAUCUCUGUAAAUCUCCUUCGACGAGUCGAGUAGUUUGGGAAUGCUGCUCUAAAUGGGAGGUAUAUGUCUUCUAAAGCUAAAUACCGGCCAGAGACCGAUAGCGCACAAGUAGAGUGAUCGAAAGAUGAAAAGCACUUUGAAAAGAGAGUUAAAAAGUACGUGAAAUUGUUGAAAGGGAAGCGUUUAUGACCAGACUUGGGCUUGGUUAAUCAUCUGGGGUUCUCUCCAGUGCACUUUUCCAGUCCAGGCCAGCAUCAGUUUUCGCCGGGGGAUAAAGGCUUCGGGAAUGUGGCUCCCCUCGGGGAGUGUUAUAGCCCGUUGUGUAAUACCCUGGCGGGGACUGAGGUUCGCGCUUCUGCAAGGAU